GGGCUUUACAAGAAUCCAUCUGUGUUCCUCUGGACAAAUGGGAGUGAUUUAUGAAAGAAGCUUUAAAAUGUUAAAUACAUAAUUCACACAUUACAGGAGGAAAUGGAUGGAUUGCCUUGACCCUUGUGAAAAAGAAGGGGCAGAGCCUGGAACAGCAUCUCAGUUAUUAUUCACACAUAAGCUCCUGUCAGUUUUUUCAGUUCAUCAUUGCCAUGUUAAAGCAGGAACUUGUUUGGUUUUAACUACAUUGCAGUGAGUUACUAUUAAAGUUCCUAGGAGGAACAGAUGGCAUUAUUUUAAGACUCACAACAGUUCAGUAGAGGUGUCUGAAGCAGCUACAGUAAUAUCUGGAAUUGGCUACAAAAUGUUCACAGAAGUACAUUUGUCCAAGAUGUCUCAAAUCCCUUCUCAUUCUGCUCAAACUAGCAUCACAAAAGAGGAACUUUGAACAAGGACUGUGGCUGUGAGCAGUAGAGGGGCAAAGACAGAAUCUUCCAACAGCUCAAGUGUUACAGCUUGAUUUAGAUGA